rnacentral:rRNA from 1 species
GACGUAGGGGACGAGCGUUGUCCGGAUUCAUUGGGCGUAAAAGCGCAGGUAGGCGGUUUGGUAAGUCUCUUGUGAAAGCUCCCGGCUCAACUGGGAGAGGUCAAGGGAAACUGCCAGGCUUGAGUGUGGCAGAGGAAGCUGGAAUUCCCGGUGUAGCGGUGAAAUGCGCAGAUAUGCGGAGGAACACCGAUGGCGAAGGCAAUCCCCUGGGCCUGCACUGACGCUCAUGCACGAAAGCGUGGGGAGCAAACAGG